CCUGACGCAGCGACGCCGCGUGGAGGAUGACGCAUUUCGGUGUGUAAACUCCUUUUAUAUGUCAAGAAAAUGACGGUAGCAUAUGAAUAAGCACCGGCUAACUCCGUGCCAGCAGCCGCGGUAAUACGGAGGGUGCAAGCGUUACUCGGAAUCACUGGGCGUAAAGGACGCGUAGGCGGGAUGGUAAGUCUGAUGUGAAAUCCUACAGCUUAACUGUAGAACUGCAUUGGAAACUACUAACCUAGAGUAUGGGAGGGGGAGAUGGAACUAGUGGUGUAGGGGUAAAAUCCGUAGAUAUCACUAGGAAUACCUAAAGCGAAGGCGAUCUCCUGGAACAAUACUGACGCUAAGGCGUGAAAGCGUGGGGAGCAAACGGGAUUAGAUACCCCGGUAGUCCACGCCCUAAACGAUGAACACUAGUCGUCGGGAUGCUUGUCAUCUCGGUGAUGCACUUAACAGAUUAAGUGUUCCGCCUGGGGAGUACGGUCGCAAGAUUAAAACUCAAAUGAAUUGACGG
rnacentral:rRNA from 1 species